UACGGAAGGUCCGGGCGUUAUCCGGAUUUAUUGGGUUUAAAGGGAGCGCAGGCUGAUGAUUAAGCGUGACGUGAAAUGUAGCCGCUCAACGGCUGAACUGCGUCGCGAACUGGUUAUCUUGAGUGAGUUCGAUGUUGGCGGAAUUCGUGGUGUAGCGGUGAAAUGCUUAGAUAUCACGAAGAACUCCGAUUGCGAAGGCAGCCAACAAGGCCUUUACUGACGCUAAAGCUCGAAGGUGCGGGUAUCGAAC
rnacentral:rRNA from 1 species